AUUGAACGCUGGCGGCAGGCCUAACACAUGCAAGUCGAACGAGUGGCGGACGGGUGAGUAAUGCUUGGGAACCUGGCUGAUGGAGGGGGAUAACGACGGGAAACUGUAGCUAAUACCGCGUACCAUAGGAUGAGCCCAAGUGGGAUUAGCUAGGUGGUGGGGUAAUGGCCUAUCAAGCCGACGAUCCCUAGCUGGUCUGAGAGGAUGACCAGCGACACCGGGACUGAGACACGGCCCAGGCGCCUACGAGAGGCAGCAGUGGGGAAUAUUGCACAAUGGGCGAAAGCCGGACGCAGCCAUGCCGCGUGAGUGAAGAAGGCGUUAGGGUUGUAAAGCUCUUUCGGUGGAGAAGCGUUAAUCACAGAAGAAGGACCGGCUAACUCCGUGCCAGCAGCCGCGGUAAUAC
rnacentral:rRNA from 1 species